GUAGGGUGCGAGCGUUAAUCGGAAUUACUGGGCGUAAAGCGUGCGCAGGCGGUUAUGUAAGACAGGUGUGAAAUCCCCGGGCUUAACCUGGGAACUGCGCUUGUGACUGCAUAACUUGAGUGUGGCAGAGGGGGGUGGAAUUCCACGUGUAGCAGUGAAAUGCGUAGAGAUGUGGAGGAACACCGAUGGCGAAGGCAGCCCCCUGGGUUAACACUGACGCUCAUGCACGAAAGCGUGGGGAGCAAACAGGAUUAGAUACCCUGGUAGUCCACGCCCUAAACGAUGCGAACUAGGUGUUGGGGAAGGAGACUUUCUUAGUACCGCGGCUAACGCGUGAAGUUCGCCGCCUGGGGAGUACGGUCGCAAGAUUA
rnacentral:rRNA from 1 species